AAUGAACGCUGGCGGCAGGCCUAACACAUGCAAGUCGAACGGAUCCUUCGGGAUUAGUGGCGGACGGGUGAGUAACGCGUGGGAACGUGCCCUUUGGUUCGGAAUAGCCUCGGGAAACUGGGAGUAAUACCGGAUAAGCCCUUCGGGGGAAAGAUUUAUCGCCAAAGGAUCGGCCCGCGUUGGAUUAGGUAGUUGGUGGGGUAAUGGCCUACCAAGCCGACGAUCCAUAGCUGGUUUAAGAGGAUGAUCAGCCACACUGGGACUGAGACACGGCCCAGACUCCUACGGGAGGCAGCAGUGGGGAACCUUAGACAAUGGGGGAAACCCUGAUCCAGCCAUGCCGCGUGAGUGAUGAAGGCCAUAGGGUUGUAAAGCUCUUUUAUCCGGGACGAUAAUGACGGUACCGGAGGAAUAAGCCCCGGCUAACUUCGUGCCAGCCGCCGCCGUAAAAC
rnacentral:rRNA from 1 species